CCUACGGGAGGCAGCAGUGAGGAAUAUUGGUCAAUGGCCGGAAGGCUGAACCAGCCAAGCCGCGUGAAGGACGAAGGUGCCAAGCAUUGUAAACUUCUUUUGUCAAGGGACAAAAUCAGGCUCGAGAGCCUGACCGAGGGUACUUGAAGAAAAAGCAUCGGCUAACUCCGUGCCAGCAGCCGCGGUAAUACUGAGGAUGCGAGCGUUAUCCGGAUUUAUUGGGUUUAAAGGGUGCGUAGGCGGACUGUUAAGUCAGCGGGAAAAGCCCGGGGCUCAACCCCGGCGAGCCGUUGAAACUGGGUGUCUUGAGAUGUCGAGAGGUAUGCGGAAUGCGCAGUGUAGCGGUGAAAUGCUUAGAUAUUGCGCAGAACUCCGAUUGCGAAGGCAGCAUACCGGCGGCGAUCUGACGCUGAGGCACGAAAGCGUGGGUAUCGAACAGGAUUAGAUACCCUUGUAGUC
rnacentral:rRNA from 1 species